rnacentral:rRNA from 1 species
GACGAACGCUGGCGGCGUGCUUAACACAUGCAAGUCGAACGGACAGGCCCUGCUUUUGUGGGGUGCUCGAGUGGCGAACGGGUGAGUAACACGUGAGUAACCUGCCCUUGACUUUGGGAUAACUUCAGGAAACUGGGGCUCAUCCCGGAUAGGAGCUCCUGCUGCAUGGUGGGGGUUGGACAGUUUCGGCGGUUGGGGAUGGACUCGCGGCUUCGCAGCUUGUUGGUGGGGUAGUGGCUUACCAAGGCUUUGACGGGUAGCCGGCCUGAGAGGGUGACCGGCCACAUUGGGACUGAGAUACGGCCCAGACUCAUACGGGAGGCAGCAGUGGGGAAUAUUGCACAAUGGGCGGAAGGCUGAUGCAGCAACGCCGCGUGCGGGAUGACGGCCUUCGGGUUGUAAACCGCUUUCGCCUGUGACGAAGCGUGAGUGACGGUAAUGGGUAAAGAAGCACCGGCUAACUACGUG